rnacentral:rRNA from 1 species
CACCGCGGUUAUACGAGAGGCCCAAGUUAACAGCCUCCGGCGUAAAGCGUGGACAAGGGUAAAAACAACUAAAGCCGAACGUCCUCUUAGCAGUUAUACGCAUUCGAAGGAACGAAGCCCUACCACGAAAGUGGCUUUAUUUCACCUGAUUCCACGACAGCUAAGGAA